rnacentral:tRNA from 1 species
GCGCCCGUAGCUCAGCUGGAUAGAGCGUCCGCCUCCGGAGCGGAAGGUCGCAGGUUCGAAUCCUGCCGGGCGUACCA